UACAAUAAAUUAAGUACACAUUAUUGUAAUCGUUUGUAAAUAGUAUGCUCAAAUUUAAUCAAACCGACCAUGAAUAGUUGUAGUUGAAAAUCUCUAUAGAAUGCUUGUAAUAACUCACUUAUAAUAUAUAUAUGUAUAUAUAAUUAGUAUAGGGGUUUAAUGCAUAUGAAUUAGUUAUAGGUUUGGGCGAAUAUUCAUAUCCAAAAAUCCAAACCGAAAAACUUGAAUCCAAACCUGAGAAAAUAACCGAACGGAUUUUAUAUUAUAUAUCCUAUAAAACUAAAUCAGAAACCCAAACUAACAACUGAGUGGAUACUUGUAACCCAAAAUAUAAGAUACCCAAAAUAGUAAUAAGUUUUAGACUUGAUAUAACAAAUUAUCCAUAAUAACUAUUAUAAAUUCAAAAAUAUCAAUUAUUUUAAGAUCAAAAUAACUAAAAUACUCAACAUAUAUUAAAUAUAUUAAAACUAUUAUAUUUGUAAAAAAUUAACCAUUUUUUAACUUUUACCAAUUUUUUUUUUUUUCGAUAUGUCGGAUAUCCGAAACCAAACGAAAUCUGAAUAAAACCGAAACAAAAUUUUAAAAUACGCAAAUAGAUAUCAGAAUUCAGAUCCAAAGUCCAAAAUAUCAAAUCCGAAUCCGAUUCAAAAUCUGAAUGUUCAGUCCGAGUUAUUAAUAUAGAAGGUUUUAUAAUCCCAAAUUAAGAUCGUGUGUUGGUUUUUUUUUCUCUAAAACUUAAGUAUUAAUAGAUUGAAAAUAUUUUGAAAUAUAAUUGAGUGAAAAAAAUAAUUAUAAUUAAUGUCAC
rnacentral:lncRNA from 1 species